ACGGAAGGCAGCAGUGAGGGAUAUUGGUCAAUGGGCGGAAGCCUGAACCAGCCAAGUCGCGUGAAGGAUGAAGGUAUUAUGUAUUGUAAACUUCUUUAGCAGUGGAGUAAUAAGGAGCUCGUGAGCUCCGAUGCAAGUACACUGAAAAUAAGGAUCGGCUAACUCCGUGCCAGCAGCCGCGGUAAUACGGAGGAUCCGAGCGUUAUCCGGAUUUAUUGGGUUUAAAGGGUGCGCAGGCGGCCUUGUAAGUCAGCGGUUAAGUCGUGGGGCUCACCUCCAUCCCGCCGUUGAUACUGCAGGGCUUGAUUGCGGUUGAGGUUGGCGGAAUUCGUCGUGUAGCGGUGAAAUGCAUAGAUAUGACGAAGAACACCGAUUGCGUAGGCAGCUGACCAAGCCGUAAAUGACGCUCAUGCACGAAAGUGCGGGGAUCGAACAGGAUUAGAUACCCUGGUA
rnacentral:rRNA from 1 species